CCAACAGCUCGAGAAUGUUAUUAUGUUUCCUCCCGUCAUGUGAUUCAUAAUAUUUAUUGCUGACAAAUUUGUUACAAUACAAUUGUUCGAAACAUCGAAAGUAAAAUAUUGUUUGUUAUUUUUUCAAACUAGUUGUUAUUACAAUUCCGCUUGUCAAAAUCGUAUAGCAACACUACUUAACAGUUGAGGGUUGUGUUCAAGCGCAAUUUCAGUUACACCAUACCGUCAAAAUGAGCUGGCUUUUUGGAUCCAAGAAAUCAAAGACAGCUGUCACGUCCCCUUCAUCUGAAAGUAGCAGUAAGGUUGAGGUGAAUGAGUCUGAAGAAGACUUUGUGGUUGUGAACCAGCAGAUGCCAUCAGGACCUCAAUUCGAUCAGCCUCCGAUUUAUCCAAAUUUAUCAUCUGGCGUCAACACUUUGCAAAUCAACGCACCUCAAGGAAAACAACCUGUAGGAAAUCCUCUGCAAGGUGUGCCUUUUAAGCUCUCCAAAGAAAUGGGCCCAACAGCCGGUGAUGAUCCUACUACCUUCACCCUGCAAGUGCAAUCGAUGAUAGAAAACAUCAACUUUGGUGCAUUGGAUUACGAUUUUGGCGUAGAAAGAGGAGUGUCACGUGAAUUUUAAUAUUAUUUUAUUGUAACCCUAAUAAUAAUAUUAC